GCUGGGUGUGGUGGUGCACACCUGUAAUCCCAGCAACUUGGGAGGCUGAGGCAGGAGGAUCACAAGUACAAGGUCUGACUGGGCAACCUAGUAAGAUUCCUGACACAA
rnacentral:sRNA from 1 species